CCGUCGUCUUCUAUCUUUCCCUAUACCUCUUGGACGACCCUGCUAAUGCAACAAAAGCUGUACAUGUCAAAUGAGCCAUUGGUCCUGGGGAACACAGCAUCACCUUUCCUUUUUUCAUCCACCGACUAACAUCCACUCACGAACUUCCCCCACUUUCGAGAAAGAAAAGAAGCCCAAACACAACACUGGGGAAAUAGAAAUUCAUCGCCAGAUACCGAGUUAAGGGGCCCGGAGGGGGUUGGGUGAAUAAUGAACACGCGUGUCCAGCAGGGGGAGGGAGUGGGGAACACCCCCCUCCCUCCGCCCCAAGCCGACUCAUGGUGGUCUUUCGUGCAUCUUUCGUCUCAACCGAGACAUUUCAUACAAAGGAUGAAUGCCACAGCCCAUAUGCAGCCUGUGGGUUAAUCCUGUGGAAGCUGUCUUGAGCAGGUUGCCUUCUGCUGCAAUGGAGAAGGAUCUGUUUAAUCAUCCACCCCAUGCUUGAUGGACCCAAUGAGGAUCCAAAUGGAAUUUGGGGUAGUUCCUAAAGCGUUGGUACAUGCUUCAAAGAUGUAUUAAUCACUGCUUGGAAUGAAGAAGCAAUAAUGGCCUUCAAUAGCCAUCAUGACUAUGCAAACACGCUAUGCAGAUUGAUCCUGAACACCCCUGGCUCUCAGAGGAAUUCCAGGAGAUGAAACAGUAUAAGAGAUGUCUAUAACACAACUGAAAAAGACAGUUAAUCCAACCAGGCACAGGUAGCCACUUAGCAACCAGACUUCAGAGGAUAAUUAGAACUGCAGAAAAAAUAAUUGCUACCAACUUGCCUUCCAUUGAGGACCUGUAUACUGCACGAAUCAAGAAGAGGGCCGUGAAAAUAUUUGCAGAUCCCUCGCAUCCUGGACAUAAACUGUUUCAACUCCUACCCUCAAAACGACGCUAUAGAGCACUGCACACCAGAACAACUAGACACAAGAACAGUUUUUUCCCGAAGGCCAUCACUCUGCUAAACAAAUAAUUCCCUCAACACUGUCAGACUAUUUACUGAAUCUGCACUACUAUUAAUCGUUUCAUAGUUCCCAUCACCAAUCUCUUUCCACUUAUGACUGUAUGACUAUAACUUGUUGCUGGCAAUCCUUAUGAUUUAUAUUGAUAUAUUGAUCAUCAAUUGUGUUGUAAAUGUUGUACCUUGAUGAACGUAUCUUUUCUUUUAUGUACACUGAGAGCAUAUGCACCAAGACAAAUUCCUUGUGUGUCCAAUCACACUUGGCCAAUAAAAAAUUCUAUUCUAUUCUAUUCUAUUGGGUGACUUGGUCCCUUCUGGGUAAGAAGUCAGGGGAGUUUUUGAAAGGUUUCUGUAAAGAUUAUGUUGAGCAUUUGUCAGAUAAAUUUGCUCAGAUUCACUUGGAGCUGACCUCCAAUGAAGAUGAUAAGGACCUAGCCUUGUCCAGUUAUCUGGCCUCUGUACUAGCCAAAAAUUCUGGAGAAGUAAACAGACUUUGGGACU